AACGAACGCUGGCGGCAUGCCUAACACAUGCAAGUCGAACGAGACCUUCGGGUCUAGUGGCGUACGGGUGUGUAACGCGUGGGAACCUGCCCUUAGGUUCGGCAUAACUCUCCGAAAGGGGUGCUAAUACCGGAUAAUGUCUUCGGACCAAAGAUUUAUCGCCUUUGGAUGGUCCCGCGUUGGAUUAGCUAGUUGGUAGGGUAAUAGCCUACCAAGGCGACGAUCCAUAGCUGGUUUGAGAGGAUGAUCAGCCACACUGGGACUGAGACACGGCCCAGACUCCUACGGGAGGCAGCAGUGGGUAAUAUUGGACAAUGGGCGAAAGGCUGAUCCAGCAAUGCCGCGUGAGUGAUGAAAGCAUUAGAGUUGUAAAGCUCUUUUACCCGGGAUGAUAAUGACAGUACCGGGAGAAUAAGCUCCGGCUAACUCCGUG
rnacentral:rRNA from 1 species